GAUGAACGCUAGCUACAGGCUUAACACAUGCAAGUCGAGGGACCGGCGCACGGGUGAGUAACACGUAUCCAACCUGCCCUUUACUCGGGGAUAGCCUUUCGAAAGAUAGAUUAAUACCAGAUAAAAAGGAUGGGGAUGCGUUCCAUUAGGUUGUUGGUAAGGUAACGCCUCACCAAGCCUUCGAUGGAUAGGGGUUAUGAGAGGAAGGUCCACCACAUUGGAGCUGAGACACAGUCCAAACUCCUACGGGAGGCAGGAGUGAGGAAUAUUGGUCGAUGGGCGGUAGCCUGGACCAGCCAAGUGGCGUGAAGAAUGAAGGCUUAUGGGUCGUAAUCUUCUUUUAUAUAAGAAUAUGUAUUAUAUGAAUAAGGAUCGGCUAACUCCGUGCCAGCCGCCGCGGUAAUUC
rnacentral:rRNA from 1 species